rnacentral:lncRNA from 1 species
GUUUACGUUACCUGGCAAGAUGGCGGCGCCCAGAGCGGUAGGUGACCGCAGCGUCCGCGUCCCGGAACUAUGGUUCACUUUGUAGCUCGGUUCUCGAGACCUCUCUCAGCCUCCUGGGAAACAAAAGUCUGCGGAAACAGAGCGUCUCCUGCCGGACCUCGCUCGGGAGACGCCGUCUGGGGCUGCCGAGGGCCACAGAGAGUCUCGAGUCGCUUGAUAGAGAAACCAAUGGGAUGAGGGUGGCUUAGCCAAUCAGCGGAGUAGGACAGCUCUUCCUGGGGGGAAAGGACGGGAUAAGGGUUUGGAGGUGAUGUAGAACUAAUGAUGCUUUUGCGCGAAAUUCCUGGGGGGAAUUUAAGGAUCUUGUAAUCCCAGUAUUUGGGAGGUGGAGGCAGCAGGAUCAGGAGUUCAAGGUUAUCCUUUUGUGUAUCAAGUUGGAGGGCAGGCAGGGCAACGUAAAAUCCUGCCUGUAAAUAAAUAACUAAACCUUAAUAGGAAACAAACAAAAAUCAAAGAACAGGGUGUGCAGGCGGGAGCCAGGAAGUUAAUUUGGAGGUCCGAGGAAGAACCUGAGGGGGAUUCCUAGAGCUUCGUUAACCUGGAGAAUGUAUUUAGUAGUAGAGUAUUUUGUUGGUACUCAUUGCCGUGGGUUCCAUUUCCAGCGCUACCUGUAAAGGUGAAGGUUACGUGGACAGGAUGGCAAAGAAAUCAGCCAUUUGGCAAAAUCCUAGGGAGAACUGGGUAAAAUUUGGGCUGGGGAAAUGGUUCAUUAUUGAAGCACAUGUGCUUGAGGCAUGAAGGCCAGAGUUGGUAGAAGCGGGGCAUGUCUGCUCACCUGGAAUCCCAGCACUCUGGAGGUAAAGACAGUUGAUUCCUCAAGCAAACCCACUGGCUGGGCUACCUGAGUUGGGGUGCUGCAGGUACAAGUGAGAGACCCUGCCUUGAUCUAUAAAGCCAGGGGCAAUUGAGGAAGACAGCUGGCCUCCAUACAUGGGCACAUUCGUGCAAGGACACCUACACAUUUGAAUGCACACUAUGCACGUACGUAUUCCACCACCACCACCCCAACCCCCAGGAGUGAACUGGUGAGAAAUGAAAGUAUAAUGGUAGUUUGGG